GUAUAUAUAAAGGCUGAAGGUAAGGCGACCGGAUGUCACGCUCAGCUGUUUGCAUUUUUGUCAGUAUUGCAUUGCUGUCACACGAGAGUAUAAGCUCUUGUGAAGUUGGUAUCUGUACCGCAGCAUUCUCUAUUUGAGGAUCGCAAACUUUUAGUCUCUGGUGAUUUACGUGGCAUUCCUUGAAUCGGGAGAUUGCAGGCUCAGCUGUGCUGCAGUUCCGAUAGCUUGUUUCCACACAAAAGCUCUCUGAGGCUGGCAUUUGUUGCCGUGGUGUCCUCGGCAUCUGAGCAUUACGAACGAUUGGUUCAUUUUGUAUUAGGGAAUCGCGGUGUAAUUGAGGCGUGUGCUUUUGAUCUGCGGCUUCUGUCACAAGUGGUUGAUGGGGGCGACGGAUUCGGCCGCGGAGUAUAUGCUGUGACCCAUGCAGGCUGGUGUUUGAGUUACCCGGCAUCAUGGCUUAAGGUCCUAACACUGCUGUUUUGCUUUCUGUUUAUUUUGGAUUCUUUUGCGUAGUUUAUUUCGUUUAGGUUAGUAAUUGGUGUAUUAGUUUAUCUUUGUCCUUUUUUUGUGUGAUAUUUAAUCUUUUCUUGGUUUCUUUUCGUUUGCUCAUUACAAUUUAUUGUUUGUUUUGCUUAUUCAUUGCAAGUUAUUAUUUGUUUUCGUUUGUUUAUUCAGUGCAAUUUAUUAUUUUCAUUUGCUUAUUGCAAUUUAUUAUUUGUGUUCCUUUUGUUUAUUACAAUUUAUUAUUUGUCUUUUGCUUACUCAUUGCAAGUUAUUAUUUGUUUUUGUUUGCUUAUUCAUUGCAAUUUAUUAUUUUUGUUUGCUUAUUGCAAUUUACUAAUUGUUGUCUUUUGUUUAUCAUUACAAUUUAUUAUUUGUUUUUUUGGUUAUUCAUUGCCAUUUAUUAUUUGUCGUCUUGUGCUUAAUUCUUUUGAUUUGGGUAAAUGUUGAGUGGUUUUCUUUGGAAGUGUUUGAUUAUUUUGUCUGUAACUUGGGGCCCUGAGGAAGGCAGACUAAGACUGAGCAGAAAUAGCCUCCCCUAAUGUGGUGUGAAUUUGCAGUGAAUCUGUUUAGGUGUUGCAGUGAUUUGGUGCACGUGUGUAUUAUUAUUAUUAUUAUUACUUACAAGCUCUGUUUCUAGUCUGCCUCCUGGUUGUUAUACCCCAGUUUCAGGCUUGUUCAUUUUCUGUUUGAUUAGUCCUUAUUUCGUGUCAGUGGUGUGCCGUGAUUUUGAUGAGUGCCCCUUUUAGGCAAGAUCUUUUUAACAUUUCUACCUGAAUAAAGCCUUAUGAAUCUUUUUAAUACCAAUUAU